rnacentral:rRNA from 2 species
AAUGAACGCUGGCGGCAUGCCUAACACAUGCAAGUCGAACGAAGGCUUCGGCCUUAGUGGCGCACGGGUGCGUAACGCGUGGGAAUCUGCCCUCAGGUUCGGAAUAACAGCGAGAAAUUGCUGCUAAUACCGGAUGAUAUCGCGAGAUCAAAGAUUUAUCGCCUGAGGAUGAGCCCGCGUAGGAUUAGCUAGUUGGUGUGGUAAAGGCGCACCAAGGCGACGAUCCUUAGCUGGUCUGAGAGGAUGAUCAGCCACACUGGGACUGAGACACGGCCCAGACUCCUACGGGAGGCAGCAGUGGGGAAUAUUGGACAAUGGGCGAAAGCCUGAUCCAGCAAUGCCGCGUGAGUGAUGAAGGCCUUAGGGUUGUAAAGCUCUUUUACCCGGGAUGAUAAUGACAGUACCGGGAGAAUAAGCUCCGGCUAACUCCGUGCCAGCAGCCGCGGUAAUACGGAGGGAGCUAGCGUUAUUCGGAAUUACUGGGCGUAAAGCGCACGUAGGCGGCUUUGUAAGUUAGAGGUGAAAGCCUGGAGCUCAACUCCAGAAUUGCCUUUAAGACUGCAUCGCUUGAAUCCAGGAGAGGUGAGUGGAAUUCCGAGUGUAGAGGUGAAAUUCGUAGAUAUUCGGAAGAACACCAGUGGCGAAGGCGGCUCACUGGACUGGUAUGACGCUGA